GCCUGGAUAGCUCUCUUGGUCAGAGCCUGGUGCUGAUAAUGCCAAGGUUGCAGGUUCAAGCCCCACAUUGGCCA
rnacentral:tRNA from 1 species